GCCUGGGUGGUGGAAUAGGUAGACACAAGGGACUUAAAAUCCCUCGGAGAUUAUCUCUGUACGAGUUCGAUUCUCGUCCCAGGCACCA
rnacentral:tRNA from 2 species